GACGAACGCUGGCGGCGUGCUUAACACAUGCAAGUCGAACGGAAAGGCCCUGCUUUUGUGGGGUGCUCGAGUGGCGAACGGGUGAGUAACACGUGAGUAACUUGCCCUUGACUUUGUGAUAACUUCAGGAAACUGGGUCUAUUACCGGAUAGGAGCUCCUGCUGCAUGGUGGGGGUUGGAAAGUUUCGGCGGUUGGGGAUGGACUCGCGGCUUAUCAGCUUGUUGGUGGGGUAGUGGCUUACCAAGGCUUUGACGGGUAGCCGGCCUGAGAGGGUGACCGGCCACAUUGGGACUGAGAUACGGCCCGGACUCCUACGGAAGGCAGCAGUGGGGAAUAUUGCCCGAUGGGCGGAAGCCUGAUGCAGCAACGCCGCGUGCGGGAUGACGGCCUUCGGGUUUAAAGCCGCUAUCGCCUGUGACGAAGCGUGAGUGAAGGUAAUGGGUAAAGAAGCACCGGCUAACUACGUG
rnacentral:rRNA from 1 species